GACGAACGCUGGCGGCGUGCUUAACACAUGCAAGUCGAACGAAGUGGCGAACGGGUGAGUAACGCGUAAUCAACCUGCCCUUCAGGGGGGGACACCAGUUGGAAACGACUGCUAAUACCCCAUACUGAAGGAGGGGUUUGCGUCUGAUUGGCUGGGUGGAGGGGGAACGGCCCACCAAGGCGAUGAUCAGUAUGCGGUGUGAGAGGGUGAACCGGCACAUUGGGACUGGGGAACGGGCCAGAAUCCCACGGGAGGCAGCCGGGGGGAAUCUUCCGCAAUGGACGAAAGUCCGACGGAGCAACGCCGCGGGAGUGAUGACGGCCUUCGGGUUGGAAAGCUCUGUUAAUCGGGACGCGGUACCGGAAUAGAAAGCCACGGCUAACUACGUGCCAGCCGCCGCGGUAAUAC
rnacentral:rRNA from 1 species